UGAGGAAUAUUGGUCAAUGGACGAGAGUCUGAACCAGCCAAGUAGCGUGAAGGAUGAAGGUUCUAUGGAUUGUAAACUUCUUUUAUACGGGAAUAAACGAAUCCACGCGUGGAUUUUUGCAUGUACCGUAUGAAUAAGGAUCGGCUAACUCCGUGCCAGCAGCCGCGGUAAUACGGAGGAUCCGAGCGUUAUCCGGAUUUAUUGGGUUUAAAGGGAGCGUAGAUGGGUUGUUAAGUCAGUUGUGAAAGUUUGCGGCUCAACCGUAAAAUUGCAAUUGAUACUGGCAGUCUUGAGUACAGUUGAGGUAGGCGGAAUUCGUGGUGUAGCGGUGAAAUGCUUAGAUAUCACGAAGAACUCCGAUUGCGAAGGCAGCUUACUAACCUGUAACUGACAUUGAUGCUCGAAAGUGUGGGUAUCAAACAGGAUUAGAUACCCUGGUAGUCCACACGGUAAACGAUGAAUACUCGCUGUAGGCGAUAUACAGUCUGCGGCCAAGCGAAAGCAUUAAGUAUUCCACCUGGGGAGUACGCCGGCAACGGUGAAACUCAAAGGAAUUGACGGGGGCCCGCACAAGCGGAGGAACAUGUGGUUUAAUUCGAUGAUACGCGAGGAACCUUACCCGGGCUUAAAUUGCAGAUGAAUUACGGUGAAAGCCGUAAGCCGCAAGGCAUCUGUGAAGGUGCUGCAUGGUUGUCGUCAGCUCGUGCCGUGAGGUGUCGGCUUAAGUGCCGUAACGAGCGCAACCCUUGUUGUCAGUUACUAACAGGUUUUGCUGAGGACUCUGACAAGACUGCCAUCGUAAGAUGUGAGGAAGGUGGGGAUGACGUCAAAUCAGCACGGCCCUUACGUCCGGGGCUACACACGUGUUACAAUGGGGGGUACAGAGGGCCGCUACCACGCGAGUGGAUGCCAAUCCCCAAAACCUCUCUCAGUUCGGACUGGAGUCUGCAACCCGACUCCACGAAGCUGGAUUCGCUAGUAAUCGCGCAUCAGCCACGGCGCGGUGAAUACGUUCCC
rnacentral:rRNA from 1 species